rnacentral:rRNA from 1 species
CACUGCCGAGAAAAGCCUCUAGAUAGAAAAUAGGUGCCCGUACCGCAAACCGACACAGGUAGUCAAGAUGAGAAUUCUAAGGUGAGCGAGCGAACUCUCGUUAAGGAACUCGGCAAAAUGACCCCGUAACUUCGGGAGAAGGGGUGCUCUUUAGGGUUAACGCCCAGAAGAGCCGCAGUGAAUAGGCCCAAGCGACUGUUUAUCAAAAACACAGGUCUCUGCUAAACCGUAAGGUGAUGUAUAGGGGCUGACGCCUGCCCGGUGCUGGAAGGUUAAGAGGAGUGGUUAGCUUCUGCGAAGCUACGAAUCGAAGCCCCAGUAAACGGCGGCCGUAACUAUAACGGUCCUAAGGUAGCGAAAUUCCUUGUCGGGUAAGUUCCGACCCGCACGAAAGGCGUAACGAUUUGGGCACUGUCUCAACGAGAGACUCGGUGAAAUCAUAGUACCUGUGAAGAUGCAGGUUACCCGCGACAGGACGGAAAGACCCCGUGGAGCUUUACUGUAGCCUGAUAUUGAAAUUCGGCACAGCUUGUACAGGAUAGGUAGGAGCCUUUGAAACGUGAGCGCUAGCUUACGUGGAGGCGCUGGUGGGAUACUACCCUAGCUGUGUUGGCUUUCUAACCCGCACCACUUAUCGUGGUGGGAGACAGUGUCAGGCGGGCAGUUUGACUGGGGCGGUCGCCUCCUAAAAGGUAACGGAGGCGCUCAAAGGUUCCCUCAGAAUGGUUGGAAAUCAUUCAUAGAGUGUAAAGGCAUAAGGGAGCUUGACUGCGAGACCUACAAGUCGAGCAGGGUCGAAAGACGGACUUAGUGAUCC